UCCAAGAUGGAGUUUUUAACACUGCCCAAGCAGACGUCACUCUUGCCCAUUUUGUGAAACCCAAAAGUUCGACUAGCAACGUACUGCAGCCUAUUGCCCCAUAGCACGUUGAACCAGGUCUUUUUCAGAAAAUCUUUUUUGUUCUUACCUGGUUACGAAUUAUUUGUUCUUGUAAAACUUAUGGACCAAAUAGGGUUGAUGAUGUUUUUAUGCAUUUGUUGUGAGCAAAUAAUGUAGGCCCUCACACUGCAUGCAAAGCAACUGGAUGCAACAACCUUGUUUGGUAGCUCAAGGAUGAUAUUAAGUUAAGACAGUCAAAUGCAUUUCCCAAAUUAAGCCUCGCUAACAAAUGCAUAGUAUCAGUGCAACAAGGCACAGUGCCAGUCGGGUUAUAUUAUUUCAAAAGGCUUGCUCAGCAGUCAUCAUCUCUAUUAUUUAUUGAGUAUUAAGAAUAAAUCCCAGUGACACAUUUUUGCUGGAAAUGGUCAGCUGAUUCAGAUAUUCCAUUGCAGGAAGCUCGUAGUAGAUUCAGUGUUGAUAUUGAACCUGAAAAUGCUGUGAAUAUCAAUCCUCUAGAUGGACUCCUUAGUCCAGAAGGAUCUACAACGCUUCACUUUAAGAGAUCCUCUCACUCUGCUUCAAUCGGAAGAAUUAAUUGCAAGGUAUGCCUCAUUAAAGUAAAUAGUCCGCUCCUUCAAUGAAAAUAAGCAAAGAAGUGUAGUUAGUAAUAUUAUACAUGUUAGGGGAGGGGGAAAUGUUAGUCGCAUGGAUUGAACGCUGAACCUCCUACAUAUAACUUUUUCGUUGUCCCUUAGCCAAACCACUGAGCUAUUGCUUCGGGGACACGAGCAAAGAAGUGUUAAUUAAUGUCAGAAAUAUCUAUAGCUGCUUUAGCCUUUGUUGAUUCUGAUAUAGGAAGUAGCCUCAGUGAAAAUAUAAACAAUAUUUUCACUCUUUGCAGAUUUACUAUUGCAAGGAAGAUGAGGUUUGUUUAUACCAAUCCUUGCUGUUUGAGGUCCCCUUCCAAGAUGGAGUUUUUAACACUGCCCAAGCAGACGUCACUCUUGCCCAUUUUGUGAAACCCAAAAGUUCGACUAGCAACGUACUGCAGCCUAUUGCCCCAUAGCACGUUGAACCAGGUCUUUUUCAGAAAAUCUUUUUUGUUCUUACCUGGUUACGAAUUAUUUGUUCUUGUAAAACUUAUGGACCAAAUAGGGUUGAUGAUGUUUUUAUGCAUUUGUUGUGAGCAAAUAAUGUAGGCCCUCACACUGCAUGCAAAGCAACUGGAUGCAACAACCUUGUUUGGUAGCUCAAGGAUGAUAUUAAGUUAAGACAGUCAAAUGCAUUUCCCAAAUUAAGCCUCGCUAACAAAUGCAUAGUAUCAGUGCAACAAGGCACAGUGCCAGUCGGGUUAUAUUAUUUCAAAAGGCUUGCUCAGCAGUCAUC
rnacentral:lncRNA from 1 species